rnacentral:rRNA from 1 species
UACGGAGGAUGCGAGCGUUAUCCGGAUUUAAUGGGUUUAAAGGGUGCGUAGGCGGGAUGUUAAGUCAGCGGUAAAAUUGCGGGGCUCAACCCCGUCGAGCCGUUGAAACUGGCAGACUUGAGUUGGCGAGAAGUACGCGGAAUGCGCGGUGUAGCGGUGAAAUGCUUAGAUAUCGCGCAGAACCCCGAUUGCGAAGGCAGCGUACCGGCUCCACACUGACGCUGGGGCACGAAAGCGUGGGUAUCGAACAGG